rnacentral:rRNA from 1 species
CCUACGGGUGGCAGCAGUGAGGAAUAUUGGUCAAUGGGCGCGAGCCUGAACCAGCCAAGCCGCGUGAAGGAAGACUGCCCUACGGGUUGUAAACUUCUUUUAUAAAGGAAUAAAGUGCGGCACGUGUGCCUUUUUGUAUGUACUUUAUGAAUACGGCUCGGCUAACUCCGUGCCAGCAGCCGCGGUAAUACGGAGGCGCCGAGCGUUAUCCGGAUUUAUUGGGUUUAAGGGGGGCGUAGUUGGGUUGUUAAGUCAGAUGUGAAAGUUUGCGGCUCAACCGUAAAAGUGCAAUUGAUACUGGCAGUCUUGAGUACAGUUGAGGUAGGCGGAAUUCGUGGUGUAGCGGUGAAAUGCUUAGAUAUCACGAAGAACUCCGAUUGCGAAGGCAGCUUACUAAACUGCCACUGACAUUGAUGCUCGAAAGUGUGGGUAGCAAACAGGAUUAGAUACCCUUGUAGUC